UAUUAUUAUUAACCUUAUUCUACUAUUACCAUAUCAUUUUAUCAUCAGCAUUAAAGCUAGGCAAUAUAUAACUAUACAAAUCGAUCUGCAGGUUAAGUAGCAUAAUUUAUUUAUCACUUUAAUACAGCUAUCAUUCUACAAUGUAUGUAUAAAUCGUCAAGACUCGUGUAAUUACAGAAAAUAAUCACACGCAAGAAUUGAAUAGCGAAAUAAAGCGAUAUACUUGAUUUAAUGAAUUGAACAAGAUAUAACUAAUUCAGUUAAAUCGUGUGAACGAUAACUGACAUUCGUUGCAAAUUUGAAGCAACAUACACAUUUCCACAAAUGUAAUAAGCUCGUGCAUAAGAAAAGAUCGUAAUAAAUAUCGAGAUACUAAUAUUAACAAGGAAUAAUUAUUAACACAUUUACAUGAAUUGUGAUGUCGCACCAAUGGAUGUGUACCAAAAAGUUGAAUAAAUUGCUGUCCGCUACGAAGAAGAUUUCUUAUAACGAUAUUUUUUACAAAACUUACCGUAAAAAUACGACCUGAUUGAAAGGUAUUGUGAUUAAUUUAGGUUCGUAUCUCUGAGGGGAAGAUUGCAGGAGUGUUGAAGCAUUUGAAAAAUAUUUUAUUAAUUAUAUUUUAUUAAUAAUAUGUAAUCAAUCACGCAUCACAAUACAAAUCUUUGUGUUUCAUCUGAUAUUAAUUCAGUGAAAAAGAUACAUGUUGUGUUUUACAGAGAAAAACAAAAAAUUAUCGAAUGCUUUUGAUACGUUAGAGUGUUUCUGCAAUUAAAUUUUCCUAUAAUAUACGUUUCAUGUAGGUUUCAUCGUUGAGUAUGCCCGAUCACAGUGUUGCCCUUCAAAAGGCAGCUUGCAUAAAAAAAGAAGCAAAGUGCCCGAUGACGAGCCGCAACGUAAUCGCACGUUUGAUUAAUAUCUUCACUGCCGACACUGUUUUGCGCUGUAAAUGUAACUGACUUUACUAAUCAUAGUUUAUAUCAUAUAUUAUAUAAUAGACGAUAUUUAUUCGCGUUCCACUUACAUAUUAAAUGGAAAUACUGAAAUUACAAACCAUAUUAGCGAUUACAAGAUAGUAUCUUUUUUUCCCCCCGUUGAUGUUUAUCUGAUUAUAUUUCAUUCUCAUAAGAAUAACUUUUAUUUUUAAUAUUCCGCAAAUGACACUCUUGUUAUAUUUAUAAUUUACUUCAUGAUCGAAUAUUAUCUUUCAACCAGCAGAUGAUUAAUUUAUAUGAUUUCUUUAAUUUGUACACGAAUUUAAUUUAUUCUAACUCUACAGUGCCUUGUACUUUUCACUGUUACAUUAUGUGGAGCGCACUUCGAUUAACAUUAUUGUCAACGUGAUACGCGUUUAGAUACAUGUUUGAAGCAACGAGUUGCGAGCAGUGGAAGGCGCACUUUCAGACUGAUGAUUUCCAAGUUCGACUCGGGGAACUUUAUAACGCAAACGAUUCCACCCACAGGAUGCUGCGGCCUAGAGAUUAGCCGGCAAGCUUGUGAAAAGAGGAAACAGGAAAGGGGCGGUUAGACCAAGAUACAGAGAACCUUCGUUUUAUCAGACGGAUGAAAACCUGAGAUCGAAGGGUGGUUGAGGGUAAAGAUGUAAGAAACAGUGGCCGAAGAAAGGGAGGGACAUACUUAUAGAAACAGCUGUUCGUCGACUGGGUUAUUGACCGUGCGCACCUACACAGGGGGAAUUUUCACAGCGGACCCUUUCACAAACCUUUCUCAGAUAAUCUCCAGUUUCGUGUCCAAAAUGCCAUGAAUGAUCGUUUGCGAUUGGUCGUUCGGAGAGACAAGGUCGAGCAAGAUGAAACGCUACAGGAACGCGAAGUCUACUCGCAAUGCGUGGAGCACACACUUGUGUGUUCUGAGACAAAAAAAUCACGCAACAUCUGGAACUUCAGGAUAGAAGGCGAUCCGCUGUAAAAACUAUUUGUACACCCCGUACGCGUGGGAGCGAGAUCCACGAUCUCCCUUCGUUAACUCGUAAAGGUCCCAUUUCGUUCUCUCGUUUCGUUGCCUUGAAACGUGUUUUCCCACGUCGAGCGAUUUUUCUUUUCGAUGAUUGCAACAAGAUGUAAGAAUGGUCAUGUAAAAUGACUAAAUACAUCACGUCUAUCAUGAGAUUUUUUUUUAUUUUAUAAAAAUUGAAGCAAAUAAGCUUAAUUAUUGUUUAAAGAAAGACGAUCAUUUGUUUUUGGUUAAUAAAGACAGAA